UCUCCUACGGGAGGCAGCAGUAGGGAAUCUUCCACAAUGGGCGAAAGCCUGCUUGCGCCCCGCCUCUUUGUUGAAGAAGGUCUUCGGAUCGUAAAACCCUGUUGUUAGAGAAGAAAGUGCGUGAGAGUAACUGUUCACAUUUCGACGGUAUCUAACCAGAAAGCCACGGCUAACUACGUGCCAGCAGCCGCGGUAAUACGUAGGUGGCAAGCGUUAUCCGGAUUUAUUGGGCGUAAAGGGAACGCAGGCGGUCUUUUAAGUCUGAUGUGAAAGCCUUCGGCUUAACCGGAG
rnacentral:rRNA from 1 species